rfam:Sphingomonas sp. Leaf231 contig_2, whole genome shotgun sequence.
AGGAGUGUAGCUCAGUUGGUAGAGCAUCGGUCUCCAAAACCGAGGGCCGUGGGUUCGAGUCCCCCCACUCCUG